UACAGAGGGUGCAAGCGUUAAUCGGAAUUAUUGGGCGUAAAGGGCUUGUAGGUGGUUCUAUAAGUUAGAUGUGAAAACCCUGGGCUUAACCUGGGACGUGCAUUUAAUACUGUAGAGCUAGAGUAUAGUAGAGGAGAGGGGAAUUCCUGGUGUAGCAGUGAAAUGCGUAGAGAUCAGGAGGAACAUCUGUGGCGAAGGCGCCUCUCUGGACUAAUACUGACACUGAGGAGCGAAGGCGUGGGGAUCAAACAGG
rnacentral:rRNA from 1 species